rnacentral:tRNA from 1 species
UCCCUGGUGGUCUGGUGACUAAGACGCUGAGCUCCCAAUGCACGGGGUCUGGGUUCGAUCCCUGGUCAGGGAA